AAUACUUGUGGUUGAUUUCUUGACUGAUAGAAUUCCUUCAGAUUUAAUUACUGAAACCUUUGAUGAUUUAACUAAAAUUAAUUCAGGGGCCCUGCUUCUGUGACCUCAAGUUACCUUGUGCUUCUCCCUAGUGAUAGUGCUUCAAAACACUACACUGUAUUUGCUGUUUAUUUGCUCGUCUCACUCAUGAGAUAAUAAGCUUCGUAAGCACAAGGAACAACUUACUCAUCCCAGACGAAGUCACUGGUCCAAAGCAGGCAUCUUGGUGUACAGAGCUCACAGAAUCAUCAAGUCCUGUCAAGAAGCAUUCAUCUUGCGCCUGUGCUGCCAGAAAAACAAACGUGGCUUCAUUAAAGCUUUCACAGACAAUGCUGUCGCCUUUGACACUGGUUUUUGUCACAUGGAAAGAAUCAUGAGAAAUCUCUUCGUAAGGAAGUUGUAUCUGUGGCCAAGCUAAACAGCAUUAUGUGACAGACAUCUGUGAGCGCAUCUGCUGUAAUUCAGUUUUGCACUUCAGUGAAUGUAAUGUAAAAUGUACUGUGAUUGUGCUUGGCAUGUGGUAGGCAGGCUCAUAACAAGUGCUUCCAAAGUUAAGUGUAUGGGUGCCACAUUUGUGAUUCUUUUAAAGGAGAGAGAGAUUUGAUAGUCUUUUUCUGGUACCCCAUCAAAUCUCUCCAAGGGCAGCCACUAUAUUACUUCUUGUACAUUUAGUGGAACCCUCAGGGCUCGAGAGACACAUACACAACAGUGGCCAGUGAACUAGAGAUUUAUAUGGGCUAAGACUUCCACUUCCAUUUGGAAAACAAUGAAAUAAAACAAAGAUCUUGAAGAAGUUUUAUAUAACUUCUAGGAAAAAAGCCACAGGUUUCAACUUUCAACCAUUUUGCUGCCUAUGCUAAUUUGUGUUUUGGUUACACUGUAUCUUAUUUAAGGGUGGUUGUGGUCUUUUUUCUUUCUUGAUGAUACCUUUUUUCAGGGAUCAAUGUACUUUUCCCAUAAAAAGCCAGAUAGUAAAUAUUUUGGGCUUUGCAGGCUCUGCCAUCUGCCACAAUUAUUCAAGUCUACUGUUAGAGCAUGAAAGCAGCCAUAGACAAUACAUAAACAAUGAGGGCAGCUGUGUUCUCGUAAGAAAAUAAAAACAGGUGCUGGGUUUUGAAUAAUACUUUCAUUCACUGAGAUUAAAAGUAUUCCUGAAAACUUUGCCAUUUGGCCUUCCAUUUUGUUUCUUAAUUGCAUUUACAGAGAAACCAUUAGAGUUUUAAACCAGAAAUAUGCAGCUCUUGAAACUCUAGAAAAUAUUUCAAAAACGUUUGUCUUUUUAGGUUCCAUGUAGCAGUAAACUCAUUUUUAGAACAGCACAAACCUGAAGUCCUAGAAAUUCAUGUCUCUAUGACACCAGCCAUGCUUCCUAUACAGACUGCCAUACUGAACAUCUUAAAUGCAUGUUUGAAGGAACUGAAGUGCUAUAACUCGUCACUUGAAGUUGAAUAUUUAUCUUUAGAAAACACUAUUGGAAAAUCCUUUGACAAGACAAUCUGCCAUUAUCUGGAUCCUUUGUGGCACCAGCUUGGAGCCAAGACUAAAUCCUUGGUUCAGGAUUUGAAGAUACUACGAACUUUGCUGCAGUAUCUUUCUCAGUAUGAUUGUAUCACAUUUCUUAAACUUCUGGAAUCUCUGAGAGCAACAGAAAAGGCUUUUGGUCAGAAUUCAGGUUGACUGUUUCUGGACUCCUGCACCUCGAUGUUUCUAAAUGAUCGAGCAAGGGUUUAUCAUGUUCCAGAUGCCAAAAUGAGCAGGAAAGGAAAAAUGUCUGAAAAAACGGAGUUUAAAGAAGGGCAGGGUAUGUCGUAGGCUUAAGUCUUUAAAUGUGUCUUAUUUCAGUGAUUGGUUAGAAGUACUUAACAAGUUAAUGUGUGAUUUUAAGUCUCCUUCAGCCAUCAGAAAAUGUAUGCCUGUAUGAUAAAUGCAUGUUGUAUGUAAUUCUGUUAAAAGUAUUAACAUGACAAGUCUUAGAAUCUGUUGCUGGGGAUUCUGGAUAACAAAGACCAAGUAUCAAUCAAGAACAUUCUUACUUCUACUUAAGAACUAGAUUGAUUUUUUGUAACUUUAGAGUAAUAAUUGCCACUUCUGUCACUUAAAUUCUUAAUGGAAUAUUUUAACAUCCCUCUGGGCUUUUAAAAGACAUAAAUAUACUAGAAUGAGACAAAUAUGGAUUUUAUUCUGACACUCAUCUAGUAGAUAUAAUGAAUAUUGUUUUUUUAAGGUAUGGGAGAGGGCAAAUGCUUACUUUCUGCUUAGUUCAAAGGUCUAGUUCAAAAGUUAAAUAUUUUAGGGAUGUGUUUGAGUACUUUACUAACAGAAAUAAAAGUUUGUUGUCUACUUCUAUUGCAUGUUCAGGGUUGUGAAAAUCAUAAUGAUUAUAGAAAUAAUCAAUGCUAUAUUCUGUUCUGGUUCCUUUAUCUGUAUAGCAGCUUAUACAUAGUGUCACAGUUCACAGUUAACACAGAAUAAUCUAGUAUUAGUAACCAUGCAUAUAACUUUCUAUUGAGACAUUAUAAAGCUUGUAUUAAUGUUUGUUUGAAGCAUCUUUCCUUUAGACCAUAACUAGACAAUUUUCAGGAAAAUAGAUUGUCUAGCAUUAUGAAGGCCCCACAAAGGAAAGGGAUAAGAGAAUGAUGCUUGAGUUAUCUCUUGGAUAGAGGAAACUUGACCCUGCCCUCCCAACUCCCUGCCUGCCUGUGCCUCGCCUGAAAGCUGCCUGUGUCCUUGGAUCCCCACCCUCUGGAUAUAAAAUAGUUGCCUCUAAACUUUCAUAGUUAAUUCUUGUAUUAAAUUCUUUUGAUCAUCUAAUGUGAGUUUUGUGUUCCUGGCUGCACCCUGACUAAUAUAAACACCUCUGCAAAAAAGCACAUCAAGGUUGACAUCACUAAAGGUGUUCCUAUGUUUCACUGUUUGAAUGUUCUAUGAAUGUUCUAACAUUAUUUAAUCAUUUGGCUAUUGGUGAACAUUUAACUUGUUUCCAAGUUUUUUGCUACCAUAGUUUGUGCUGUAAUGAAUAUAUCUGUAUAUAUAUGUAUUUCUAUAGGACAAAGUAAAAUUGCUAGGUCAAAAAAGGGGGUAUAUAUUUAAAAAAUGUAAAUUUAAUUUUAAUUGCCAAAUUGCCCCCAAAAUGUAUCAGAAUCUAUACUUUCAACAACUCUGUGCCUUAAGAGUGCCUAUUUCCCUACCCACUGGGCAACUCUUUGUCAAUAACAUAGUGAAAAAUGUUUUCUUGCUUUCAUUUGCAUCACUUUACAUUCUGAAUGAGAUUAACUAUCCUCUCAUAUACCUACUGGCCACUUGCAUUUCUCUUGCUGUGAACUGCCUUGUAACUGGUUUUAUUUUUUGCUUUAUAUCAUGACCUUUAUCUAGAACAAUAAUAAAAAGCAACAUCAAUCAGCACUGCACCAUAA